rnacentral:rRNA from 1 species
GAUGAACGCUGGCGGUGUGCCUAAUACAUGCAAGUCGAGCGAAUGACGAGGAGCUUGCUCCUCUGAUUUAGCGGCGGACGGGUGAGUAACACGUGGGUAACCUGCCUGUAAGACGGGGAUAACUCCGGGAAACCGGAGCUAAUACCGGAUGAUAACGAGAAGCGCCUGCUUCUUUUUUGAAAGUCGGUUUCGGCUGACGCUUACAGAUGGGCCCGCGGCGCAUUAGCUAGUUGGUGAGGUAACGGCUCACCAAGGCGACGAUGCGUAGCCGACCUGGGAGGGUGAUCGGCCACACUGGGACUGAGACACGGCCCAGACUCCUACGGGAGGCAGCAGUAGGGAAUCUUCGGCAAUGGACGAAAGUCUGACCGAGCAACGCCGCGUGAGCGAUGAAGGCCUUCGGGUCGUAAAGCUCUGUUGUCAGAGAAGAACAAGUACCGGAGUAACUGCCGGUACCUUGACGGUACCUGACCAGAAAGCCACGGCUAACUACGUGCCAGCCGCCGCGUAAAAC